rnacentral:rRNA from 1 species
CCUACGGGAGGCAGCAGUGGGGAAUAUUGCGCAAUGGGGGAAACCCUGACGCAGCCAUGCCGCGUGAGUGACGAAGGCCUUAGGGUUGUAAAGCUCUUUCGCUAGGGAAGAUAAUGACGGUACCUAGUAAAGAAGCCCCGGCUAACUCCGUGCCAGCAGCCGCGGUAAUACGGAGGGGGCUAGCGUUGUUCGGAAUCACUGGGCGUAAAGCGCGCGUAGGCGGACCAAUCAGUUGGGGGUGAAAGCCCGGAGCUCAACUCCGGAACUGCCUCCAAUACUGUUGGUCUUGAGGUCGAGAGAGGUAAGUGGAAUUCCUAGUGUAGAGGUGAAAUUCGUAGAUAUUAGGAAGAACACCAGUGGCGAAGGCGACUUACUGGCUCGAUUCUGACGCUGAGGUGCGAAAGCGUGGGGAGCAAACAGGAUUAGAUACCCUUGUAGUC